ACAGUUACUAUUAUUAUAAUUAUUAUUUUGUGAUGGAGUCGAGGUCCCAGGUCCUUCUGACUCCCAGGCCCGUGCCACCCUGGGGAAGCCUUCGGCCUUUCUACCGAGGGAGAAACAGGCCCGGUGUAGAGCUACCAGAUCGGGGUGCAGAGGUGCAGUGGCUCCGUCGGGAAGUGACGUCUGCCAACCCGCCGCCUCAGGGCCCCGGCUGAGCUCCCCCCGGGGCCGGGGCAGGGGUCGGGCUCCGCCGUGGGCACUGACUGAGGACAGGAAUUGCCAUAUCCUCCCAAAGCAGAGGGAGCUGAGACCUGCUGAGGGCACGGGGCUGGGUCAAGAGCGUCGAGGGUGUUGGUCGGUGGUGUCCGAGGGGGCCGGGGAGAGAGGGACUCCCGAGUUCUUGAGGUUUGGUCCCCCACCCCUCGGGAAUUAACCCUGAGAGCUUUCUGCCCAGGAUGUUAGUGCCCGGGCCUUUCCCCCGCUGCCGGGCCCACUGGAAACCCUUUUUCUGCCAUGCGAUUCACUGACAAAGUCCCAUCGCCUGAGAAUCCUGCUGCUCCGCCCGCCAACCGCCAAGACCGCCGACUGCCGAGGUGACCGCCGCCAUCGAAGCGGCCAACCGCCGAGACCGCCAGCUCAGGAGAAAGGAUGGAAGCGGAGAGCCGCGCUGGCCAGAAGCUCCCCUACGGCGCCCCUGGAUUUCCGACAGCGGCGAGGGUGUCCGCUCGGAUGGGACGGCUUCCUCCUCUGACCGGACUCUGGCCGUGCCGUUUCCCCUCCGACGGCGGGGUCUCCGGCUCCGUCGCGAGCGGCCAGGAGAGGCUCCAUCUCGGCCCACGGAAGGAACCGCGUCCGUGCCAGACGGCUGGUGGCCGCCCCGGCGGCCUCCUGCAGACACUGACGCUCGCUUCUGGGGACUUUAUUGAGCGGCCGAUGGCGUCUCUUCCCCGAGCCCCACCCGUGCCCGUCCGUCCUCGGCGCCCCUCCCUGGCCCUCCUGAGAACCGGAGGAUGUCGCAUGCCCUGUGGUGGACCGGGCCCGACCGAGACGCGUGUGAGCCGCCCCAUCCUCCCUCCUUUCUCCUCCCCCCCACCACCCAAGUCAGGCCCAGAGGAGGGGCAGAGCCAGGUGGGGGGUGAGCGGUGGGCGGGGAGGGGGCCACGGCCCCGUCGCUUCGGUCCGUCUCUCCGAAGUUGCCGGGAGUUGGUCGGCACAGCUCUCGAGCGCCGUAGACACGGUCCCCGCCCCACAAGGGCUUCCGGUCCAAGGCGGACAUGUGAAGCCCCGGCUCGGCAGGCUGGGGCCUGCAACAGACCCGCUCGCUCCACUUGAGAUGUGGAAACUCUGAAUAAACUGCUCCGUGUCGCUACCUCCA